rnacentral:tRNA from 1 species
GGCGGGGGCGCUGCGCGGUGCGAAAAGCUGACACUGAUGUUGAAGCUGACCAGGGGUCACCGUGGAGGUUCGAGUCCUCCCCCCGGCACCA